AAGAAAAGGACACAACAACAACAAGAAACUCAAUUUUGGAUUUGAAUUUUAAGUUUUGUUUGCAUUUUUCCAGCAAGUGUUUUGCCUUGGCUAAUCUGGUUGGUCUUGUAUUCUUAGUUUUAUUUUGAUUUUAUUCAUCUAUUCUAGCACCUUUCUUUAGGAAUUUCAUUUGAGUGCCUUCCUAUUUGACUUGCCUUAAUUUUUUGCUUGUCAUUCUUGGCUUUCCUUGAAGUAUUGUCUCCUUUUUCUCCCUUGGAGUUUAGCUUUCCAAAUUGUGCUUUUAUUGCUUUUAUUUUUGGCCUCUUUGGUGUAGGAAAAAUAGAUUUGGUUGGUGGUUCUUUUUGGAGAUUGACUAACCUUGAAGGUAGCAUUUUUGAAGGCUAAAGAAGGCUAAAAGAAGCAUUUCUCCUUGGACUUUGGAGGGAGAUAACUACAUUGUUUUGGAGUGAAUCAAGAGAGGACAAACACUUGAAAGAAACAAGGAAUUAGGGGCUGUUUUUGCACUUUUAUGGCUAUUAAUUUUGUAUCACGGAACCUUUGUGUUCUUGUAAUUUUUUUUAGUUGAUUACAUUUUCUAUAUGCUUGGUG
rnacentral:lncRNA from 1 species